rnacentral:rRNA from 1 species
UGGGGAAUAUUGCACAAUGGGCGCAAGCCUGAUGCAGCAACGCCGCGUGAACGAUGAAUUUCUUCGGUUCGUAAAGUUCUGUUGCAGGGGAAGAUAAUGACGGUACCCUGUGAGGAAGCCCCGGCUAACUACGUGCCAGCAGCCGCGGUAAUACGUAGGGGGCUAGCGUUAUCCGGGUUUACUGGGCGUAAAGGGUGCGUAGUUGGUCCUUCAAGUCGGUGGUUAAAGGCUACGGCUCAACCGUAGUAAGCCGCCGAAACUGGAGGACUUGAGUGCAGGAGAGGAAAGUGGAAUUCCCAGUGUAGCGGGGAAAUGCGUAGAUAUUGGGGGGAACACCAGGAGCGAAGGCGGCUUUCUGGACUGCAACUGACACUGAGGCACGAAAGCGUGGGUAGCAAACAGG